UCAGUAAAGCCGGGAAAACAACGAAUACGCGGAGGAGGAGGAGCUGUAAUCAUAUAUGGUUCGAUCGUCAUCACGACCAGCAGUUACCAAACAUACACACAACAGAGGCAGAUAGACUCAAGAACUGAUUCUGUAGACACGGCUAUUGUUUGACUUCAAAUAUAUUCAUUGAAAUGAAGACCAGUCGAUAUGUAAUCCUGUUCAUAGUGUCAGUAGGGGUCUUAUUACCUGCAGUUUACGUUCACGCUAUGAUGGAUGAAAGAGAAUUUGAUAUACGUGAAUACAAAGACAGCUCCUGGUUUGACGCUUUACGGACGGAGUUCACAGAGCGGGCGCUUGACUUAAUAUACAAAUCAGAGUCAUCUAACGAAGUUGGCGAAUCUGACGGAGAAAUCGUCAAACAGCUUCUUCAGAAACGAGGCGGCCAGGGAUCUCGCCGACGGAAUAUUCCUCCUUACGAAAGUAGACAGCGGCCACCGAGGACAUUCAAAUUAGACAUCUAGGAUAGAAUAACUGUUAAAGGGUUGUCCGUUUUCAUGCUAAAGUUGUUUCGUGGGUUUGAAAUUUGACUUUUGUUAUACUAGAUCUCUCACCAACGUAGAUCUACCUUGAUGUUGAGACUUUAAGCUCUAGGUGUCUGUAUCCAUAAACAGAUAAUGUAUAAUGCUAUAAAUUUUUUGUCAUACGAUAUGAAUAUUUUAAAGGUAACGAAAGCUUUUAAAAGUACGACAGGCCUGCAAUGGGUACGGUAGCUGUUGCAUCCUUACGGAAACAACAACGAACUUAGUCGAAGUCGCAUCUCCGUUUUUUCUUACUUGUUUACUGUUCUGUUGACAUACUGCUAACGAUAUUGCCUGUAGCCCUAAGUGUUUGACAUGGGAGAGUACAGUGCAGUUAGUUACAUUAUUAUUAUUAUUAUUAUUAUUAUUAUCAAAAAAUUAAAUUAUAUAAUAUCAUGAUCAUAGAUUUCUUCUUCAGAAUAUUAAUAGGUUAAAUAGGCCCAUGAUUUAAGAUUAUGAUAUCUACUUUUCUGAUCUAUGAUUCUUCAAUGUAAAAUGUAGGCCUAUGCUGUGAUAGAGGAUGGAUACUGACUCAAACCUUUGAAAUUCGUUGUCGUUUUCGUAUUGUUCGUUUUCUUUUAGAUGUGCGGUAACAGGAAACAUGAUGACGAGAAGCUAUAUACAGGACACGUCAGCGCACGUGAUAUGCCCCUAAACAUAAUAGGCCUAGGCCUACGUUAUCGGAUAUACAUAAUCUUAAGCCGGAGACACACUGCGUCAGCCGAAGAAUAUAUUUCCGAUCUGUAUGAUCGCUUGACGACGAGUCAUCAUCUGCUAAUUGCCUGUGGUAUUCUAUGAGCGGAUCGUCGGUCGGUGAAUGCAGUCCAUCGCGCGCGAAUCGUCUCCAUGAAAUGCCGUCGGCUGAGUCGGCCGACGCAGUGAGUGUCCGGCUUUAUAGAACAAUCUGCAUUUCGUUGAACUCGUUUAUAUUGCGUGCAUUUCCAACCAUAAAGUUAAAUUAAAUUUGAAAUGUAAAGAAAUACAGACAUGCCUAUAGAAUCUCAAUAUAAACGUAAAAAUUAAGUGAUAGGUUUCACACGAAAUUAGUGUGUUGUGCAUUUUAAUGGCUAAACUGCUUUGUCGAUCGCAGCUGUUUAGUUUCUUUGAUGGGUAAUCUAGGCGUGUGUCUGUUUUUAAUAGCUAGUCAAUGGAGCAGAUUUUGAAGUUUAAAUACAUUUUAUUAGUUGUGAAAUCAAAUUGAUGAUUGUCGCUUUUUAAGUGAUGUAAUAAAUGGUAAUCAUUCUUAAAA